GUAUUUGAAUUAAGUAUUCAUACAGGUUUUAGACAAAGUUGUUAAAGAUAAGAGUUGAUGUUUACAUCCUGUAGCGCAAAUGACAAGCAUUCGCACUACAAGACAACAUUGCACACAAGGUGGAUAUGGAUUGAAAAAGUGCCAUAAAACACUUAUUGUGAAUGAUCCUUCCGCAGGUUCACCUACGGAAA
rnacentral:misc_RNA from 1 species